rnacentral:rRNA from 1 species
UACGUAGGGGGCAAGCGUUGUCCGGAUUUAUUGGGCGUAAAGAGCGUGUAGGCGGCUUUACAGGUCCGUUGUGAAAACUCGAGGCUCAACCUCGAGACGCCGGUGGAAACCGUAAAGCUAGAGUCCGGAAGAGGAGAGUGGAAUUCCUGGUGUAGCGGUGAAAAUGCGCAGAGUAUCAGGAGGAACACCCGUGGCGAAAGCGGCUCUCUGGGACGGUACUGACGCUGAGACGCGAAGCGUGGGGAGCAAACAGG